rnacentral:lncRNA from 1 species
GAUUUAUGCCCCUGUUUCAUGAGGCAGAGACUCCGCGCUAUUCCUCAACGGAGGCUUCAAUAUUUCCCCAAACUCAGUGGACGUAUAUGAGUCUCAGGUGGUUUCCAUACACAGAAUUUUGGUUUUAUUUUCAGCAAUUUCUGAUGGAAAGGUCCAGAGAGGAAACCAUUUCUAAAGUGGAUUCCAUGGAAAUGGAGGAUUUGCCAUCCCAGGUCAGACUCGUGAUUCAUCCAGUCAGAAUUCUACUGCUCCCAGCAGCCUUUGGAAUAUGGUAGUGGUCCCUGUUCUUGCAGACAGCCCUGACCCCUGUAAAUCUGCCUAACUCUGCUUGGAGUCGAUUUAUGUUUCCCACCACCACCACCACCUCUUGGGACAUGGACUUUCUGAGUUUACUGCCUAUUGUGCACGGCCUAUCUUGCUCCUCUCUGUCUGGGUUUGCCUCAUUCAGGUUUCAUAGCCCUGAUUCCCUUUAUUCUUUCUGAGCAUCGUAUAGACAUUCUCAAAUGUUCCACUAGGGUGAGGCAUUCAGUGGUUCCUAAGCCACUCGAUGACCAAGGCUUGGGGGAUUUAGUCCAUCCUAUUUGAGGUCAAGAGGCAAUCCUGAUAUAAAAACAUAGCUAAUGGACUUAGACACUCAGCUGGAUGUGUGUAUUAGUCCAGUCUAUCUCUUGUGAGCUGGUCAGCCCUGGAGAAGGAACCACAGUUGGGAAUUUUUCCCUGACCUAGGAGUCCCCUGGUAGUAAUCAACUUUCUGUCCUGGAGACUUCCAGCCUUUUAAAAUUGCUCCUACGCUGGUCCCUGCCUCCCUGUGUCUUUCUAAAGAGAAGAAUUUGCUUGUUAAGGUGGGUUCCCUAGAAUGGAACUGUGUGUACUUGUGACGUCAUAUAAGGGGACGAUUGCUAUUUUGUAUUUCAAAUGUUCCCCAGGAAGGGGCUUGCUUGGAACAAGCUCUAAUUAUCUUCACAUGCUUGCCAGAAUGAGUACUGCUGCUCUCACUCUGGUGAUAUGAACUGCUGUGAGCCCGGUGUGCCCCUCAGGACAACAAGGGAUGGCACAGCAGGUUAGGCACGAUUUCUAGGCCAAGAUUGGUGAGAAUCACAAGGACAGGCAGAGAGGACCAGUCCAGCAGGGUUACUAGAGUAGAAGGCACUGGCAUGGCCUUGUAUAAUCUAAGGAGACUGCUUCAACACCUAAGGGGCAAGGGAAUUGGUCACAGUGACUUCGGGGAACAGAUAUAAGGCCAACUUUGACCCUUAGGCAGAAGGUAAUUAUUUCCCUUGGUGUUCGUACAUGUGAGAUGCAAACUUUAGCUACCUGAGAUGCAGGUCCACCCACAAAAGGGUCAAAGUACCCUUUCAGUAUGCAUUAUGCAUGUAACACGGUGCACACUCUCUCGGUGUGUCCUGUGCAUGUAACAUGGUGCAUGCUCUCUCUGUGUACUGUGCAUGUAACACAGUGCACACUCUCUGAGUGUGUAUUGUGCAUGUAACAUGGUGCAUGUGCAUGUAACAUGGUGCACAUACUCUUAGUGUGUAGUGUGUACUGUGCAUGUAACAUGGUGCAGACUCCCUCAGGGAGUUAGGCACUCUGCUUUCAUACACAAACUCAAUGCCUUUGAAUUUGUGGAAACUUUGUAAACUAAAGUAUUCCCUUUAAGAAUCAGGAAAUUUUCCAGGCUGUGUGUAUACACCUUUAAUCCCAGCACUUGGGAGGCAGAGGCAGGCAGAUCCCUGUGAUCCAGGC